rnacentral:rRNA from 1 species
AGAGUUUGAUCCUGGCUCAGAUUGAACGCUGGCGGNAUGCCUUACACAUGCAAGUCGAACGGCAGCGCGGGAGCAAUCCUGGCGGCGAGUGGCGAACGGGUGAGUAAUACAUCGGAACGUGCCCAAUCGUGGGGGAUAACGCAGCGAAAGCUGUGCUAAUACCGCAUACGAUCUACGGAUGAAAGCAGGGGAUCGCAAGACCUUUCGCGAAUGGAGCGGCCGAUGGCAGAUUAGGUAGUUGGUGAGGUAAAGGCUCACCAAGCCUUCGAUCUGUAGCUGGUCUGAGAGGACGACCAGCCACACUGGGACUGAGACACGGCCCANACUCCUACGGGAGGCAGNCGUGGGGAAUUUUGGACAAUGGGCGCAAGCCUGAUCCAGCCAUGCCGCGUGCAGGAUGAAGGCCUUCGGGUUGUAAACUGCUUUUGUACGGAACGAAAAGUCUCUUUCUAAUAAAGAGGGAUCAUGACGGUACCGUAAGAAUAAGCACCGGCUANCUACGUGCCAGCAGCCGCGGUAAUACGUANGGUGCAAGCGUUAAUCGGAAUUACUGGGGCGUAAAGCGUGCGCAGGCGGUUAUGUAAGACAGUUGUGAAAUCCCCGGGGCUCAACCUGGGAACUGCAUCUGUGACUGCAUAGCUAGAGUACGGUAGAUNGGGAUGGAAUUCCGCGUGUAGCAGUG